UAGCGUCAACCCCAUCAAUGCCCCAUAAACAUUUCAGCGUUCUUGUGAAAUGUCAACAAGAAAAUGGUGUUUGUUUAGUGCAAGGCAAAAAUAACGACAAAGCUGGUUAGUUUUUUAAAUUUUCUAACAUUCCUAACGUAUUUAUUCGGUGAUCUGUUGUAACUCAAGUUGCACCUAAUUACUGACGUAAGAAUAAAAACAUUCCCUUAAUUGCUUUGGGUUCCAGAAUAAUAACACAAAUUGAUAGAAGUAUUUCUAUUGGAAUGAGUAGAUACAACACAUUCAUUAUGCGUAGACUAUUUUUGGAAAUUUUGGGGGAAUGGGUAGGAAUCAUGUGCACAAGUAUAUAAUGCAUAUCCUGAGCCUUCAGGAUAUGCACAAAUAUAUAAUUCAUAACCUGAGCGUCAGGAUAUGCAUUAUAGACAUCUUCAUGCCCUGAGCAUCAGGUGCAAGAGACAAAUGAGGUGCACUGAGGGUCAGAUGCAUCAGCUUGUCCUGAGUGUCAGGCAAAUGCUAAUUAUGGUGAUUUCUUCCAUACCCUGAGCGUCAGGUGUAUAAGAGAUGCCCUGAGCGUCAGGGGCUUCAACAUACCCUAAGCGUCAGGCGCAUGUUUCCUAUUUACAUAAUGACUACACUAGAGAUGCCCUGAGUGUCAGGUGCAUCAACAUGUCCUGAGCGUCAGGCACAUGCUAAUUACUGGUGUUUGUAUUCAUACCCUGAACGUCGAGUGUAUGAGAGAUGCCAGGAGUGUCAGGGGCUUCAUCAUGCCCUGAGCGUCAGGCGCAUGUUUGUUAUUCACACGAUGACUAAACUAGAGUUUCCCUGAACGUCAGGCGCAUUGACAUGUCCUGAGCAUCAGGCACAUGCUAAUUACUGAUGUUCUUAUUACACAAUGUUUCUACAAUGACUUUUAUCAACACAUUACUUGCCUAAACAGCUGACGAAGGAGGCCUAAUACACCCACUAAUUAAAUUAGAGGCUCCCUACAGACUUGUUCUUUCUACCUAUCAUACCUGUUUCUGCCUAUUUCUACCUAACACGAGCCAAAAGAAAUGCCAGGGAAACAUUGAGGCAGAAGCAAUUUGUCUGGUUGUGUUGUGCUGCGUGCUCAACAGUUGUCUUUAGUUGUCUUUAGUUGCAUUAAAGACGUUCAUGAUAUUUCGACUCGAUUCCAUUGCACCACGGUGAUGAAUUGAAUUGGUAUCUUAUCCACACUUUGUAGGCGUGUUGAUGACAUAAAAUAAAGAAAAAUUAGGUGAAGAAAAUCAAUUUAUAAAAAGGGUGGGAGGUGUAAGGUACAUCUGAGAUAGAUAGAUAGAGUGCAUAGUUUACAUGGCUAGCCUCACUGAUAUUGAGGUAUAUACCCUGUCUAUUAUUUCCAGAAGGGGCCAUGUCUUAGAUGGAGAGUCCUAGAGUAUUUAAUGCUCAUUUUGAGCUACGCAGACCCAAUUAGGGCCAGCGCUCUACUAGACAACUCCCGGCAACAUCCAACGGCCCACACAGUGUGCCAUCUCCCCAAUUUUCCUCACAUGGCUUUUGUUAACCCCGGGGCUAUGGUAACAUUCACUUGCCCAUGUUGAAUCGCUGUCAAGAGGAAUCGAACCCCGUUCUCCCGCACAGAGUACGACAGCUAUAACCCUAAUCUACGGCGCCACUAACCACUAAUCUACUGAAGAAGAACUUGUGCAGUGUGGGAUGUUGAUUUCUUAUAUGCAACCAUUAAUAUUCAAGACCUGGGUAGGAUCCAGUUCCUUUGCAGGCAAGUGAGACUAAUAACCCUGGCAAUCUUUAAGAUUAGGUCUAUAGGUAGAAACCAGCCUCACUGUGCCAGGCUCUACAUGACAUGUUCAAUGACUAAAGUAAACCUAAUGUAUAUUAAUCACAAUGCUAAAGAACUGUACUUCUGUCACCACAAUUAACAUGAGAAAAACUUGCAGUUUAGCUCCAUUUAAUAUUUAAAAAUAUUACAAGUUUUAAUCAAAAUCUGUAAAAACAUUAAAACUAAUUACAGCUCGUCCAAAAUUUAACAAUUUCAUUGUUGCAACCUAGACCCCAGGGCCCCGCAACAUAGAACACGAAAUCAGUUAUUCAUUUUGCCAUCUGAUGAGAGAGGAAUGGAUAGCUGUGGGAUCGAGGUUGUGAUUUCUUUCAUCAUCAUCAUCAUCAUCAUUCUUGGCCUAACGUCCGUUUUCCAUGUUAGCAUGGGUUGGACGGAAUAUAUUAAUGACCCUCUUCCAAUCUGAUCUAGACUGUGUUAGAUCUAAACUCAACUUCCUCUGUAUCAAGUCUGUCCUUAUAACCUCCUGCCAAGUCUUUCUCGGUCUGCCUCUGGGCUUUGCCACAGGAACUAUCAAGUCUCUACACUUUCUUACCCAAUUAUCCCCCUCCAUUCUUUCCAAGUGCCCCAGCUAAUUCAAUCUUCUUAUCUGGAUAACAUCUUUAAUUCUACGGAGACUUAGCCUGCUUCUUAGCUCAUCUGAACUCUUUCUGUCUCUCAGACUGGCGUUACACAUCCACCUAACCAUUCUCAUAUCAUUCCUUUCUAAACGAUCAAGAUAUUCCUGCUUCACUGCCCAUGUCUCACUACCGUACAACAUAACAUUUCUUACACAGGCCUCAUACAACCUACCUUUUACCUCAAUUGACAGGACUCUGCUAGUCAACAAAGGAAGUAACUCUCUGAACUUUUUCCAAGCAGAACCUAUCCUGCAAGUAACACUUCUUCCAACACCCCCUUCACUGCCCAACAUAUCACCUAAGUAACAGAAAUUCUCAACUAUUUCUAACAAGCCACUGAAGCUGGAAAUACUUCAGUCUCUACAAUCUCACCUUUGCAACGCUGCAUACAAAACUGAAUGUCAGCUGUUAACCUUCCACCAAUACUACUGCACUUCUUAUGUACCCAAUGCAUGCAACCCCUUUCCUCCAUAUUCAACAAGGCCACUUUCCAACUACAAGGUCACACUUGGCUGCAAUGCUACUAAUCAUGACUUUAAACUUUGCUGUGUUUACCUUCAGCCCUUUCUUUUCUAGUCCUUUCUUCCACUUCUCAAACUUUUCAACUAAUUCUUCCAUCGACUCUGCUAUGAGAACCAAAUCAUCUGCAUACAAUAGCUCCCAUGGACAACCUGUUCUGAACUCCAUUGACAGCGCUUCUAAGACUAGAACAAACAACAAAGGACUAAGCACAGAACCCUGAUGUACACUAAUAUUUACACUAAAUUCAUCACUAAGUGAAUCGUUAAUCCUGACACGACUUCUAGCAUUGCUGUACAUAGACUGUACCAUCGUAACUAGCCACUUAUUCACACCUAAUUUUCUCACAGCCCACCAAAUAACUUUACGUGGCACUCUAUCAAAAGCUUUUUCUAAAAUCUACAAAGGCAAAAUAGAGAUUCUUUCUCUUUCCUAAAUACUUUUCCUGAAGCUGUCUGAGUAAAAAUAUUGCAUCUGUAGUGCCACACCCUGGAACAAAACCAAAUUGCAUCUUAUCUGUAUCAAUUCUUUCUCUAAGUAACUUAUCAAUCACUCUUUCAAUAACUUUCAUUACUUGAUCAACCAACUUCAAACCUCUAUAGUUACCUCUUUCUAAUGCAUUACCCUUGCCCUUGAAUCAAUUCACUAUUACACUCGACUGCCACUCACUCGGAAUAGCACCAUCCUUUAUAAUCUGAUUAGCAAGACUUGUAAUAAGCUCAACUCCAAUAUAUCCAGAUGCUUUUACCAUCUCUGCAACAAUACCUGAGACUCCUGCAGGCUUGGCAAUCUUCAAUUUCCUAAUAGCCUCCACUACCCAUUCUGUCUUGACCUGCAUAGCUGACCCUUCUACAACAUCAUCAUCAGACAAAUUAUCCUCAUCCCAAUCAAACUCAGUGUUAAGCAACCUCUGAUAAUAAUUCUUUCAAGCUACCCUUUUCUCUUCCUCUGUGCCAGCCAAAACACCUUCAUCAUUACGUAUACACUUCUCACCUACAAAAUCUUGAUUAGUCUUCUUCAUUUGCUUUGCUAUCUUGAAUACCUCAUUGCGCUGGUCUUCCCUUUUUAACACAUCUGCAAACCUGUUUCUUUCUGCUUCUGAUUUUGCCUUAUACAUUGCUGUACGAGCACGACGCUUAGCUUCUAAGUAAAUAUUUUUACUACCACCUGACUUCCACCCUUUCCAAAUUUUCUUCUUUUUCUUUAUACACUGGUCAACCUCAUUAUUCCACCACCAGGUCUGUCUAUGUCUAGCUGGUCCUUUCGUCCACCCACUGGUAUCAUCAAAAGCUUCUAGAAGACAAUUCUUCAAAGUAGUCCAAGUACUUUCAACAUUGUCACUAUCACGCUGACCAUUGCGGGCUAACUGCUGAACUUUAGCACUAAAUUGUCUUGCUACAAUCUCUUCCUUCAGCUUCCAGACUUUCCCUCGGCUUCUUUAACACUCUUCAAGAUAAUUUCUUGAACUCUUGCAUUUCCAAAUCGUUCAAUCUGCGAAAAGUCUAAAAUCUAAUAUCACUAUUAUUACUAUCAUAUAUCAUUUUGUAUUUUCAGCAUGCAAAUUCAUCCAUACUAUUGCUGACGUGAUGUGUGAAAAAGUUGCCGCUGUUAUUGCUGGAAAACACUUUAUGGCUGUCCUAUCUGAUGGUUCCCAAGCUCGUAGAAAUGGGAAUGAGAAAGAGCUGGUACUGGUACGUACUGAAAAAGAGGGGCUUCCUGUGUAUUACAUGGUCUCUCUUCAGGUUUCGGUGGCUGUGAUGCUGGUAGUCUGAAAACGGGUUUAGACAGUGUAUUUGAAAGCAGAAACGUACCAUUAGACGAUUGUUAGACAAAGCUCGUAUAAGUGACGACAUAUGGAGCAAAUUUGAACAUGGGUAUCUACCAUGGGGCAUUAACAAUGGUGGCCAAGGAGCAUCCUUUGCUUGUGUUGAUCCACUGUGUGAAUCACUGGCUUGAGUUUGCAAUUAAAGAUGCAAUCAAAGAUCUACCGAAAUUUAUUGAAUGCGAUUCCUUCUACAAUCUUUUACUAAAAAUUCACGGUACACGCUUCAUAAGCCAUCGAAGACGUAGAUUUGCAAAGUUGUUUCAUAAACUAGGACCUGGAGGGGGUCAAGUACCACCCAAAAAGGGAAAAGUUUCUGUUAGCACCAUGUUAUGGCUUAGGUAUUUAAGCUUCAGAAAAGGUAUGGUGAACCCUUUAAGGCUCUCCAUCUUGGGUGCUUUGACACACUUUCUUGUUGAAUGUUUCUGAAUAAGCAGGCUACCUUAGAUAGUGUAUUUGAGUAUAAAUGUACCUUAUUAGGAUUACAUUAUAAUUUUAAAUAAAUUUCGGUAGAUAUUCUGCUGCACCCUCCAUUGCAGAGCUGAAAAACUAAUCAAAAAUUUUGAUUUUUGCAAUAUGUUUGUAAUUUUUUUUCAAAAAAAAUUAACCAAUAUGACAAAAAUAAAAAAAAACUCUACUAAUCAGUAAUCAUUCUCAUUAUCGUUUUUAGUCACUUUCGGGGUUACUGUCAAUUUCCACGUCACUGCCAAACUCUGAUUCGUAAUCGUUCUCCUCCUCCUAAAGUUAUUCCAAAGCCUCCGGGAAUGCCUUGUCAAGCCAAUAAAUUUGACCCUCCCCUGUUCCUAUCCAUGUUCUUUUAUAUUUGGGAAUUCAGCUUUAGGAUCAACAGCUCUCCUCCACAAGUAUGCCACAGCAUGUGCCCUUUUGCAAUGCCACUUUAAAACUUGCUUGCAAGGUGGUAGUGUUGCAAGAUCGAUUAUUUUAUUUUAUUUUCUAUGCUUUUGAUUGAAGAGUUGCCAUUGUGCGUCAUCUACACUUUUCAAUUUUUGACUGUAUAGGAAACAGACAUAUUCUUCCAGCUGCUUGAACAAGUCUCCUGAUAACUUUUCAUCAGAACCAAGAUCAGCAAACGAUGCUUCAAACCUUUGAUAUUUUUCAAGAAUUUUCCAACAGAUGGCUUUUCCUUUUUUUGAAAAAAGGAAGAUAAAUAAUCAUUGCCUGUAAAAGCAUGCAAACCAAUCAAUGCUGAACAUCUUGAUAACGAUAAAUCAAUUGCUCCAAGGAAAAUGUGUUUCCUGCUUUUUUCACAUCAACUGUCAACAAUUACCCUAUCUUUUUCAUUGACUAAAAGUGACAACAAUAUGAUGAUGUCUGUGUCGCCUUGAGGGAUUGUUGUAAGUACUCCACAGCAUGUGCCACAACUUUUGUAUCAGCUUCUUCCUGUGUACUUAGCAACCUGUCAAACUCAAAAAUUCCUGACGAAGUAACUAACUUGCAUUCAUCUUCUCUUGAAAGCACAAGGGUGUUGCAUUUCAUGGCUUCCAAGGCUUGCAGUGUCUGGAAAAUGAGUUGUAUAAGUCUUGUUUAAGAUGGUAUCUAGAUUAAGAAAAUGUUGAAUUUGACAGAUACCUGUUGUUUUAGCAUCUCUUUUAGUCACCUGUUCUCCAUGCUGAUCUAUCAAAAUUCGUAAUGGGUAUUGUUCUUGCCCUUGCACUGACAAUCCAGUGUGCUUCAGCAUGUCUAUUAAGCCAGGGAAUUUAGUUUUAAUAACCCGCAUUGUCUCCACGUAAAAGCUUCCAUAAUGAGUGUAAUUUGUCUUGUUAAGUGCAAGGUAGAACGGAAUAAAAUAUUCCCAAGCAUAGAAUCGCAAUGCAAAAUCGUUUUCUUGAACCGCUGUGUGAAUUAAAUGCUGCAUUCUGAGCUGUUUUACCAAGAAAACCAUUUCUAACACUUUCACGGUCAUUUCAUGGUGUGUAGAACAUUUGCAGAACUUGUGAAGACAUCCACGGUGAGCUCAUCGUCAACAGACACAGAAAAUUCAUUUUCAUAGGGAACUUUUUGUUAGUAUCGUGAAUAAAUCUUUGCAAUAACAACCUUUCCAUCGCCUUACUGACAGCUAAAAAUAUCAAUUCAUAAAUAUUAAAGACCAUGCCUUUUAAACACACACUGAUCCAAAUGCCCUUAUUGAAAAAACGCUUUUUGCAUAAACUAGAAAUCGAAAUAGAUUUUAUGUUUUAUCGACCAUCGUUAGACUGUUUUUUCGUAAAUGCCCGAUAACAAGAUUGGUGAUACCGCAGCUCCUUUGCAACCAGAUCAAGAUCUUUUAUUUCGAAAAACAAUGAUGGUAUCUUUUCUUCAGUUAAUGUUUCAAUCUGCUUCGCAGCAGUCAAAGUUGUUACGACUUUCGGAAACUCAUCUUUUUUAGAUCGUUGGAUUCUAUAUUUUCUGCUGAUGAAGCAUUCCUUGGGAAAUAAUCUAACUGAGCUUUGUUCUCCUAUGGAUCGGUCACUUCCUCCUCCUAUGGAUCGGUCACUUCCUCCACUCGAGUUCUUUGCCGCGGAACAGCUUUAUGUAGUUCUUGAUUUAAGCAAUCGAUAGAGAGUAUCGAGGUAAAUCUAGGAAAAAGUAUGCAUGCCUUGCAUACAUUUAGAAAGAAAAUCAGUGUUGUUGUAGUCUAACUCAUAGUAUAAAAAGACUCACUUCUUGUCGCAUGGUACUGAAUGUACACCGUGAAUGUUAUGAUCAAUAAUUUUAGGUACACCAAGGUAUUGCUCCUUAUGGUGAUUUUCUCCUUCCAACAAUUCCCCAGUACACUUUGCUUCUGUGAUUCAUUUUACGUUUUCACUGUCAAGAGGUUUAACUUUGAUGUAAGAACAAUUUUGAUUAUCGUAACGUAUUAUGCAUUUCAUAUGCAUGUCAUUUUGCAGUAUCUACGUUUGUAAAAGAGAAAGCAAACAUGUAAAUUGAGAAAAACACAUUCACAAGACCUUGAAAAAAACUCUAAUAUUGAAACAAAUAGAAUAAGUAACCUACAACGAUGCUGGUGUUUUUUUGGUAGUAAGUAGUACAUAAAUUAAUUUUUUUAUUUGGUUCUGUUAAGCAACAAAUUAACUAUAUGCACAUGUGAAAACAGUAAAAUGUAAAAAAGAGUCAAACUCUGAUCUGUUGAACUAUUGAUAAUUAGAAAUCUUAAGAAAUUACCAGCAGCUUUUAUGUGUAAACAGGUAAAAAAAAAUAAAAAAAUAAAUAAAUACAGAAUAAUGUUGGCCAGCGUAAAUAUGCCUCAAAUCUACAUAAACUAAGUUUAAUACAGACAACUUGGUUAUUAAAUUGCACUGCAAUUUAAGGAAGUACAAUGGUCUGACAUAUUUAAAAUAGUAGAUGUUAUCUCAAAAUGCUGUUACCAUUUUUGUUUUCAUGUUUGAUUUUUUUGCGAAGUUUCACAUAAGUAUGACAGAAAUUAAGAAUUCUGGUUACUCUUUGGGCUCUACAAUGGAGGGUGCAGCAGAAUAUCUAACGAAAUUUAUUUAAAAUCAUAUUGUUAUCCUAAUAAGGUACAUUUAUACUCAAAUACGCUAUCUAAGGUAGCCGACUUAUUCAGAAACAUGGGAUGCUGAAACAAGUAUUUCAACAAGAAAUUGUGUCAAAGCACCCAAGAUGAAGAGCCUUGGAGGGUUCACCCUCCGGAGUUAAGCCAUACCAUACCCUAUCUGAAGCUCCAAUACCUAAGCCAUAACAUGGUGCUAACAGAAAUUUUAUCCUUUCUGGGUGGUACUUGACCCCCUUCAUGGCUUGGUCUAUCAUAUUUGGCCAGCCUUAAUCACAACAUGCUUAAAUGCCUUAGCCAGAGAUUGUGGUUGUCGCUCUGAAAUAAGAGCACAAGUACUGGGGAUUUUAUGAAAGUUGAAUUCAUAUGCCUUUCUAUGUCAAACAGCAGCCUACAUGGACAUAUUGGAGUGCAUAUCACCCCUUUUGUUAGUUUUCAAAAAAAGUUUGUUGCUGGCUUAUGAAAUAAAACCAGCUGUCUAACAGACAAUUUUGAUGCUGGAAGAAAUGAAAAACGAAGACGACACAAUAAACAGUUUUCUGAGAAAGUUCAAUCUACGUGAUGAAGGUAACCUUGUAACUGUCGUGUCCGAAUACCCAAGGGCAGGUCAUGAACAAAGAAAAACUGAGAACCUUAAAUUCAUUGGUAUAGAAUUAAACAUGACAAAUGCUACCGAAACCGCGUGUCAAGAUGCCCUAGGAGGAGUGAGGCAAUCGAAACUAUCAUCCCACUGAUAAAGGAUCGUUUCUCAUCUUUUCUUACCAACAACAACAUAUUUAAAAGUAUGAUGUGGGUGAAGCCACAAUACUGGGAAGAAGAUUUUUCAGCACUUUAACAACUUUACUUUCAGAUCAACGUUUGAGUAUAAAGCACGCCACCAUGGAAGACGCCUUGAUAAUCGCCUGAAACAACACUAUUUGGACGGAGGGAGAAAAAGAGGAAAUACUAAAAGCUGCAGUGGAAAAGUACAUUUCAAAACUUAGGACAACAAAACUUGCAGAUAACUCCCAGAGAAAGCACCCCGUGUUACAGAAGCAAUCUCUGAUGAGACCGAUGAGAGUGAAACUGACAAUGAUAAUUCGAGUGAUAAUAGUUCAAGUGAUUGUUAGCACGAUGACAACAGUUUUUUUCUGACGAUGAAUAAGUUGAGAGGGUGUUAGGAUAAGCGUAUCCCACCCUGUUUAUAUUAUUUUUCCUGAAUAGUAUUGACGAAAAGCCUUGCUGUGUUAAACAUAUAUAAUCUUUAUCACGGAGGAGGGUGUUACGACGAAAAAAAAUUUUAAGAUUUUGUUUAACCAUGUAACUACUUUUAUGAUAACAAAGUUGGCGUCUAAUAUUUUUUGCUUGGAGCCCUUUCUUUGUUUGAGUUAAAAAAAUACUAAAAAUACUGAAUAGAAAAAUAAUGAAUAAUGAACGCAUCGUACACUUUAGUUUUGUCGCAACAAAUUACCUGCUUUUUAAAACAUGUCAAAAUUAGUGUUGCUGUAUACGAGUUCUAUGAUUACUCGAGAAAAAAAAUGGAACAAAAAUGAGCACACAGCAUUGCACGCCAUUGAAAAUUGCUAGCACGCCAGCAUUUUUCUUCCUGAUGAGGCCUGUAUUAUAUAUUUUUUUAUAUUCCUUUAACAACUAAUCCUUAAAUAAAAAAAUGCUUAAUGUUGAACAAAUGUUUUUACGAUGAUCAAUAAAAACUUGCAAUUGUGAUGACCGGAAAUUUUGUGCCUGUGAAAGUCAACCCUGGAAUGGAGUGACACUUUAAUAAUUUAAAUUAACAGUUUAAGUGAUGGAAAAAAAGAGUGAUCACACAUGAACUCAGGAAUUCCUCAUCACAAUGUUUUUUGUUUAUAACAACAACAAAAAUAUUAGAAACCCUUUAAAUAAACGAAUGUGCAUACAAUACACAUGUUCACAGUUUAUGAUAUGUAGUAAUACACAUAGUAGUUGUUUCAAAAGACAAUGCAGCGCUGCUAUGAGAAAAUCUGUGCGGAGGCUACUGCGCAGGAAUGGAAGAAAACAACAAUAAACACAUUUGUCAGCCCACAGCAGUGGGUAUUUUUGGUAAAAAGGAAGGUCGUUGUUGUACAGAUAACUUGAGUUGGAUAAAAUAAGGGUAUGUUAUUUUUACUCAACUGUGAAAUUCACUGAACUGUUCCCAUGCAUGAAUUUCACCACAGCUAUUUUCCAAAGAAAUUUAAAACAAUACAGAACUUGUAGCUGGCUAGAUAUGUUCAGUUUCUUAAAACUGAUCUAUCACUAAAUUUAUAAUGCAUUGAUAAUGUGCUUAUGCAUAUAUUUUUUAAUAAAAUGUAAAGUUUUUCUUAGUAUAUUACUAAGUACGUUUUUAGAUAUUUUGGCAUAUUUCUUUAAAAUAAUAAUGACAAACAAGAGACAGACAAGAGCUAUUUGAAAAUCAGAUGUUCCAUGGAGUGUUGGGUUCACAGUGAUUUAUUAAAAGUCUCAAACGAAAAAUGAAACAGUUGUAUUGACUGGGGAUAGUAUAUUUGGUUGGGUUGUUGACUCUGAUUUUCCAAGAAAUUUAAAGGGGGAUUUGGCUAUUGUAUGUGUGGAAAGUUGUGCUUGCCAUAUUCAUCUAUUUCAUUAUUUAUUAUUAUUAUUAUUCAAUAAACAGCCAUAGGCUGCUAACAAGUAUCUAAAGAUUUUCACGGUAGAGAUGAUAAAAUCUGGUUAAAGUCCCCAGAAUAUAUGUCACUGUUGUUUCCUGUGGUAUUUGUUAAAUGCAUUGUAUAAGUACCAUGUGAAAAAUUUUCAUUAUAUAUAUUCAUUACUGCCUCUGCACCUUUGCCAUGUCCCUGUUUGUAGAUUAUUUUUAAAAACCAUGCCCUUUACGUAACAUAUGCAUAAUGUUGAUGCAAUUUUAGAGGACUUUUUUUAGAGAUUUGUUGGGUAAUUUACCUCGCGUUUUUCGUUCUUGGAUGAAGUGAGGACAAUAAUACUUUUUUUUAAAUUUAUAAUAAACUUUUUUACCUGAGCAUCCCAUGAUAAGCGAUCUUACAGUUCCAAAAUUAAGACAAAAAGAGAAAAGAAACAUUAAUUUCUGAAGUCGGGGGACGAUUUAACCAGUGAACCCCUGAACACUGGAGACUCGAAAGCCUUUAUCUUGACUUCAUUCGUUACGAAAAUUGUAUCAUGUAUAUAUGUUAAUCUCUUUUUAUCUACUUGUGGUGCUUAAUUAAUAUAACAAAAUUCUAUUUUUUUUUUAGGUUCGUAUAUAUAUUUGAAGAUAACUAUUUAUAGAAAGUGUUUCAUUAUAGUUUUACAAAUAGAGAUCGUCCUCGCUGUCCCAGCUCUCGUCACUUGAACAACUAUCAUCAUCUGAGCGAUCAUCAUCAGUUAUAUUAUCGAUACGGUUUGGUUCUGACGUAUUCACCGUUCAACACUGGAGUUUGAUCCGGAUAUGCUGAGAAUCAAAGAGACGAGAAGGCUCACGUUGGGAAAUGAUUCUCUUUUGUAUGUCAACACCGACUUCCACAUGUCGCGUACUGCCAUUUUAUUGUAAGCUCGAACAACAUCAAUGGCAUGGUCUUGAUUGAUUUUAUUAGUUUGGAAUUUUACGGUGACGAAGGUUUUAUCUUUUUUCCGCUUUUCCCCAGCUUUAAUGAAUUGACCCUCUAAUGCUCCACUCAACCAAUUCUGAUCACCCGCUUUGGUACUAACACUGUAACGUCCAACAUAACUGUCCAAAAACUCCAAAUCACCCCCAAUUUCGUCAAUGUUUUCAUUCAGUUCAGAAGUUGUUUGGUCGAUAAUCGAAUUGACUGAGUAAGGUAAAAGAUCAAUCGAUUCAAAUAUUUUUGAGACAGGAACAACCAUUUCAAGCAUAUCGAGGUAAGUUGCUAUAGUCAACAAAAAUUCAUAGGAUUUGAACUUUUUAAGAAGGCCUGAAACUUUCGCUUUCGUAGUAGCAUUACUCCCUUUAUCGUCCGCGAUGUAAUUUUCGUAUGCUGUUAUGUACGCUGGCCAUGAUUCAAGGAUAUUCUGAAAUCCCCGCCUACGAUGCCCAACAAACCUUGUUCCUGUGAUCUUCGAUAUGUUAUAGUAUGUGAUACCUAACGCCUUUGCACAUUCUGCAACUUCAGAUUUUAGUUUGCCACUAUUUCGCAAGAGAUAAAAAUUUGUUGUGUAGAACUGAUCAACCUCGUUCAGCUUGUUUAUAUUUAAUGCUUCCUUAACUGCGAGUUCUAUGCGGUGGUUUGCACAGUGAAUCAUCAACAUCCAUGGUCGCCCCUGAUCCUUCAUCUGCGUCAAAACACCCUUGUAUUUACCAAAGUUAACACUGGCUUCGUCCACCGUACAACUGACAACCUUUUUAGUGAAGCUCUCUUGGUCCAUCAAAAGCGCACUAUUGUCGUCACGGAAAAUACUUUCAAUACCGGCAACAAUCGAACAAGCAUCACCCCCACCGAACCUAGCCACUUCCAGCAAACUCGCAACCACCUAAACUGGAACACCACUCCUC